AUACAUUCAGACCACUACUCAAUAUCCCAAGGUUCGAUGGAAAAAAUUAUUAAUGGUGACUGGCAUGCUUCCGAAACAGAAAUACAUCUUAUGGAUGGCGCUACAUACACGCUUGGCGAACUGGCAUGCUCCGGAAACAGAAAUACAUCUUAUGGAUGGCGCUGCAUAUACGCUUGGCGACAGUUGACAGAUUAGCUAAAUGAGGAAUUCACAUUAAUCAAUCCUGCAUUUUAUGUGGAAGAGACACUGAAGAAACUCAUGACCAUUUAUACUUUUACUGCUUAUACUCCAAAAUACUGUGGCAAGGUAUGUUACAAUGGUUGAAUUAUCAAAGAACGAUAGGCACAUGGGAAACAGAAGUCCAAUGGUUAACUGCUAAUGUUAACAGCAGAAAUCCCAG
rnacentral:lncRNA from 1 species